rnacentral:lncRNA from 1 species
GCCGAAUUCAUGUGAGAUAGAGGUAAAGUGCUUUUCACCGAAAUAGCCCCUAUAUCCAGGAUCGAACAUAAAAACUCUUAUUAAAAUUAAUGUAGAUGAAUUAUAAUCAUCGCACCAAACUCGUCGGCAAUACAAUCAACCCUCUUUGAUGUCGUAGAAAAAAACUUUUAUUAAACUCCAAACUAGACAAUAAGAUCUGGUCAGUAGACUAUAGACAUGAUGCUCUCGUGAUCGCAUUAUCUCUUUCAAGAGUAAAAUCUGCAGUAGUUUCCAAGAAGUUGCAACUCAGAUUUCAAUGGUGUCAUAGCAAUCAACACAUAGAUUUCUUCAAUCUUUUCAAUUGGCAUAUAUUGAUAAUGCAUGAUAUCCAGUUGUUAACCCCUUAAUUGAUAGAGACUCUCCCAUUUGGCUUAUAUUAUGUCCUUAGAAGUUGUAAAUUAUCUAACAAUACAUGUUUGAUAAUAUUACAUAGGUCCAAAAACUUGAAACCAUAUAAGAAAUAAAUUCCAUUCAUGCAUGAUUUAGAAGUAUUUCACUUUAUUAGAAGAAUCAUUUUAAGUUGGAAUUACUUUUGUACAAACUAAUGGGGUAUAUACAUAGUGGAUCAUAAAGAUAACCUAACGACGGAAAUCCGGCACGAACAAUUUUCUUUAAAAAAAAAAAACAGUAAACAAAGCGUAAGAAGAUAAUGUUAGAAAAAUUAUUCAACUAAUAGAAUGUCAGUAUCCAUUUUACUCAUUUUAGAAUAUGCGGAUCCUCUUUGUUUAUUACCUAUGUACUUAGGUGGAUCUGUGUCCAAUCCCUUUUCUCAUUUAUACAUUAAAGUAUUAAACCAAUAAUCUCUAACUUUGUUACUAAUAACUAAUGAGAUCAGAGCUUGUAACCACUCUCUAAAUGUUUUUUUUUGUCCAAACUACUCUCUAAAUGUUGAAAAUGAGUAAUGGCUAAUACUUCUUUUAGCGAUCAAUUACCUUCUUUUUCUUGUUCCACCCCCCCCCCCCCACCCCCCCCCUCUCUUAGCAUAUGUUAGCUAGUAUUUGGAUUUUUGGAGCAACUAAAUAAGUACGCAAGGUAAAAUUGCUACGAUAAACUGCAGCCCGAUUAAUUAAUUUAAUAUAUCAAAUUAGGAAAAUUACAAAGAAAUGGGAUCUGUUUUAGGACACAGCAGAAUUGGAUCCACGUAAGUACACGAGGAACAAACAACGAGGAUCCACAUAUUCAAUAUGGAUCCAUGAAGUUUCCCACAAAAGGACACUUGAUUCAUAAAAGUUCCAACUUGCACCCUUGAUCCAAACUUUUAAAGGGAAAAAUGAAAAGAAAAAACAAAAUUUUGCCAUUGUUUUAGACGUUUGAUUUAACCUCUUAAGGCUUCUUAUAAAUACAUUGACACCCUGCCAAGUUUGAAUAAUUACAUUAAAUACCUUCUAGGAACUUACUAAUGAAGCCUUGCUCACAAUAUACUUAACUCAAAAUGACUUGACGAAAUAAUGCUUUAAAAAGAAAAGGAAUUGGGAUAUAUGCAUUGCUUAAUUACUUAAUUAAUUAUUCACUAUGGUCUUAUAUUAUAAUUUAGCAUGGAAGAUUGAUAAUAAUAUGGUACAGUGAGAUAAAGUUAAGAGUUGAAAGAGUUACGAAAGGAAAUAAUUUUUUUCGUAACUGAGGAAAGCCAUUUCCUCUCUUUUGAUAAAAAAAAAAUGUUCUUGUCAAAAAUAUUUUCUCGCAGCCAAACACCAAAAAAAUACUUGUUUUCUGGGAAAUAUUAUUUUUUAAAAUAUUUCCCCACCAACAAACUGAUCUUAAAUGGAAAUUCAAAAGAAAGCAUACUUGUUCAAUAAUGUGGUCUUAUUAUAGAAAGCGCCUACAUAGUAAUAAUCUAGUAUUGAUUGGCUUAGUUAAACGAAAAGUGACACUAUUAUUAUGGAGUAAUAAAUGUCGAAGUCAGAAUUUUCACUAAAGAGAUUAAAACAAUAAAAAAAUAAACAUACAAAGAGUUUUUGAGUUGUAUUAACGAGAUUCAAUAUUUAUUUUAUAACAUAAAAGAUAAUUUUAACCUUUGUAUAUACACAAAUAAAUAAGAAUGGCCGCUUGCGCCUUUUAACUCCACCAUUGAAUAGUAGUCACUUUUCGAAAACAUCAAUAGGCAUGCUUGCGCUAAAUCUGCCAACCCAAAAGGAAAAAGAAAUAAACAAAUAUACUUAGUAGAAAACUAAAUAAACAGCAGUAAGGAAGCGAAUAGAAAAUCUUGAUCAAGUUGCCAUAAAAAAAACUGGAAAGAAAAAGACCUCUUAGUCAACAUUACCUCCUACUUAUUAGCUAAUUGUUUUAUGGAUGUAUUUAGACACUUGAUAUGUGGAUGCUGAGUUAAGUAAAACAUAUUUUAUGGUGAUAAUUGAUAAUGGAAUAAAACAAUUAGUAGCUAAUAAGUAGGAGUUAGUGUCAAUACGUUAUAGCGCAUGUACACGUACACAUGUUGAUAUGCUUUCGCCAUGUGGGUACCCAGAGCUCCUCACACUCCAAUAUC